AUUGAACGCUGGCGGCAGGCCUAACACAUGCAAGUCGAGCGGAUGAAGGGAGCUUGCUCCUGGAUUCAGCGGCGGACGGGUGAGUAAUGCCUAGGAAUCUGCCUGGUAGUGGGGGAUAACGUCCGGAAACGGGCGCUAAUACCGCAUACGUCCUGAGGGAGAAAGUGGGGGAUCUUCGGACCUCACGCUAUCAGAUGAGCCUAGGUCGGAUUAGCUAGUUGGUGGGGUAAAGGCCUACCAAGGCGACGAUCCGUAACUGGUCUGAGAGGAUGAUCAGUCACACUGGAACUGAGACACGGUCCAGACUCCUACGGGAGGCAGCAGUGGGGAAUAUUGGACAAUGGGCGAAAGCCUGAUCCAGCCAUGCCGCGUGUGUGAAGAAGGUCUUCGGAUUGUAAAGCACUUUAAGUGGGGAGGAAGGGCAGUAAGUUAAUACCUUGCUGUUUUGACGUUACCAACAGAAUAAGCACCGGCUAACUUCG
rnacentral:rRNA from 1 species